rnacentral:rRNA from 1 species
AUUGAACGCUGGCGGCAGGCCUAACACAUGCAAGUCGAACGAGUGGCGGACGGGUGAGUAAUGUCUGGGAAACUGCCUGAUGGAGGGGGAUAACUACUGGAAACGGUAGCUAAUACCGCAUACCAUCGGAUGUGCCCAGAUGGGAUUAGCUUGUAGGUGAGGUAACGGCUCACCUAGGCGACGAUCCCUAGCUGGUCGGAGAGGAUUACCAGCCACAGUGGAAGUGAGACACGGUCCAGACUCCUACGGGAGGCAGCAGUGGGGAAUAUGGAAGCAUGGGCGCAAGCCUGAUGCAGCCAUGCCGCGGUGAUGAAGAAGGCCUUCGGGUUUUAAAGUACUUUCAGCGGUGAGGCGUUACCCGCAGAAGAAGCACCGGCUAACUCCGUGCCAGCAGCCGCGGUAAUAC